CAUUUCAGUUUGUGGUUGGUCUUCUUUGCGAUGUUUGGCUUUGGCUGAAUCUGCUGUGCUCAAUAUUUCCAGGAAGUCUACAGUUAACUUAUUGAGAACUUUGAUGACGCAGUUAACUACAUAUGUAGUGGCUACUUGAAGUUUUUUAUUAAGCUGCCGUUUUACAGGUCCCAAACUGCCUAUCUUCAUCAGUCUGAUGCGUACAUUGAAGAACGACAACUCUGUAGCAGAGAAUGGAGAGUGCGAGGAGCUGCAAGUACGAGUCGACUACGAGAGCUUUCUGAGUAUCAGACCAAAAAUUAAGAUGUUAGAUGCAAACAGUAAAAAGUUUGGCCUGGAUGUCGGACGGCAAUGGGAAACGAUUUUAGGAAAUUCAGACAGCCGGAGAAGUUAUCCCCAUCUGCUCCACGCCACACCACAUGUCCAGAGGGCUGGUAAUUUAAGACUACCCUACCAUGCCAUAGACAGAAGAUGCACAUGGGAUGACUGCCGUGUACAUGAAACAGUCUCGUUGAGUAUUUUAAACAAUAUAUUUAAAGAGAACGCGAGGUGAUAUGGAAAGAUAAAUUUGCUGCAACGGCUAAGCCGUUCCCCGUGAUUUCCAACACUUGAAGCAGCCUUUCAGAAGCCAACUGAUAGAAAGCACAAAACAGUAUACUUAUGUAUUACUUGAAAACAGUGACAUACGAAUUUUACUCCUGUGAAACUGAAUGGACUUCAAUCAUAACAUGCCGAAUCUCAAUGUGGAUGAAACAAAUGUUGACAUAGCUCCAGAUAACUUGCUAACGUAUUGUUGAAGCUCGGCGACUCUAAUAAAGCCAACAGACUGUGCGAGGAGCUCAGGGCUAGUGACGCUUAUAUUGAAGAUGGAACAACGAGUCUAUUCUGUGAGUAAAUCGGGAUAUGCUUGAUUAUGCAGAAUAGGUAACAUCAGUAACAUCAGAUGAAGCAUAAACAGUGAUUGAAAUUUUAUAACGCGUUGUUGAGUGGUAUUCAAGAACCGCUGGCUUGCAUUAUACCUUCCGUCCGUCGUAGCAUCCAGGUAUUGAAGGAGCUACGUUGCCGUAGAGUACAGUACUAAUAUAGACCACACAGGUACAAGGCUCUACUGGAUAAUUUCCAAGCCCAUAUAAGGGAUAUGAUAGAAAAACACGGACAACCCUACUGCAGGGAAUAUAUACAUAGACACAAUGAAAAAUACACAACAGUGUCAAAAUAGACACAUCAUGGACCUCAGUGGGGCACCGCCAUAGAACUGUCAGUUGCAAAAACAACAGUGGGAAUCUUACACCUGCGCACAAAAACUUAACUGACUCUUUAUACCUGUUAUGUUCCAAAGUUACAGGACAGUGUAAUAGAACUUUUCACAUCCAAACGAAUCCAUCACACACGUACUUUACCAAAUUUGCAUGUUAGAUCAAAUGACAACAUGAUACUAGUUGUACCAAAGACUCGAACCGUGAUGUAUAACAAGAGCUUCGGGCACACAGCUCCCAAACUACAGAGCUCUCUCCUUGCCGAUACACAUCUUCUAACCUUAUAUCUGACAGUGUCUAUGCAUGAAAUAUCUUUAUGCACAAAACCAGACCUAAAGGAGGAAUAGAAUUCUUCUUAAGCCAGUGCUACGCGUGUCAUGGAUGUUGCAUUUUUCAUUACCACUAAUUAACAGACUCAGUCAAACGGUUGGUUGCGCUCUAUGCUUCCAAAAGAUCUUCUUAUAAAUUUUAUAGAUCUAUCUAGAAAAGAAAAACAAAGUUAAAGAAAUUUUAAUGUUCUCUUGAUAAGUCUACAUUCUGUUUUUAAAAUAUUUUCUCAGUUCAAAAAAAAAGAAGAAAAUCAUUUAAAGAACGCUAUGCAAUUUAUCUGCGUAUUCUUUGCUAUUAAAAUGCAGAAUAGUCCUAUUGUUUUGUUGACCACAUCAAAGGCAGUGUAAUAUAUACAUAUUAUGCUGAAAUAGAAUAAAAUUAUUUAAAUGUUCCUAUUAGAAAUAUUUGAUUGACAUGGACAUAAAUGAAUAAUCGCAGAUAACCCCUUUAAAUCACUGUAGAGACACGUAUUUCUGAUCGUAAAUUUCUCUUUUUUUUCAGGUAAAAGUAUUGGCAUAACGUCGAAGCAUACUUCGAUUGUUAACUAGUAUCAAACGAACGUGAUACACUUUAUUUUGCUGCAAAUUUGGAUGUUUUUAUUUCAGUGUAUAUGUGAUGUGAAACCCAAAUUUUAGCCCUGUUAGGCGCCAUAUAACCUGCACUGUUUGUUGCGCCGUAAAACACAAAUCAAGGUCAAAAUCAAAUAUUAUUUUACAUAUCUGCAAUGAGACAUGAAAUAAAAGAUCUUAAAAAUGUUUCUCUGCUUGGUACUUGGUAAGGUAUAUGAAGAAACAAAUAAAGAUCUCUUUAGGACACUCCGACAUGCAUAUACUUUUGUUUGGUUAGGAAUGAAAAUAUAUUCAAUACAUUUUAAACUUUGUCAAUAUGUCAUAUAAAGUUACAUGAUAUUAAUUAACAUGAACUUCUACUAAACUAAGAGCAUGGCGGAAACCGACAAAAGUUUUGACAUACAUUCAUUAUUAUGCUGAUGGUUUUAAAAGUUAAAGUUAAUUUCCAGCCAGGUCUAUUUGAUUUGCACAUAUAAAUAAAUGGACUUGACACAAACAUUCCUAAGUGAAGGAUAUGUGUACAGACGUUAUUCUACUAUGUAAUCCAGACGUUAAGCAAUACAGAAAACAGUUGACAUCUUUAAAUCUUAGUAAGGUCUAAUAAGCACAGCGUUUGCCGUGUUUAUAAGCAAUAUUUUAUUCAAAAUGAUAUUUCUUCUUUACUAUUUUGUUCUUACAUAAUCGAAGUAUUUUGAAGAUGCAAGGGAUGGUUUGCUUCGUUAUUUUCAAAUUUGUCUCGGUGUACUGUUUUAUCUUUUGUCUUUACAGAUGUCUAUGCAUAUUAAUAUAAAGAAGACAAAAGAGAAAUGCUUUGUGGGACUGGAGCAGAAAAUUACAAUCUGCUGCAGUUAUAAGAUUAAAAUGUGGGAACGGUGGUUAUUUUUCAGAACUAAUAGAAAUUUAUUAUGAAACUUUUACUUUCUUGUAAAUCUGAGGGGAUUGCAAUAAAUCUAAUUAUACGUAUCUACUUCUCUGUUUCGUGUUAGGAAACUGUCUUUACUUUUAUUGUUUUGACAGUAGGAACAAAGUUUGGUUGAUUAACUGUCAUCGAAGAGCUAAUAUCAGCGUUUAUGGUAUUUCAUGAUUUGCAUAUUGUCUAUAUUUCUUACAUAAAACGUUUGUGUUACACUUUGCUACUUCUAUAUCACCAUUAAAAUUUGCAUUUCAAACGGUGAUGUAUUUCAUAAAUUUAGCAGAUAUCACAUAACGAUGAAUUAACUAGAUCAUAACUUUCUUAACACAAACCUGCAAUUUUAUUUUUGUCUUUUUUAUUUUGGGAUAUAAAAGGAAAUUCCAUAAGUGGACAUGAAAACGUCUUUGUCAAAACCUUUUCUCGUAUUUAUAAUUUUCCAACACCAAUAUGUUUUCGUCUAAUCUUACGAAGUUUGAUUUUAAAUGUAUUCAGCACCAUUCUACAUCAUUUAUAAGAUAAAAAUCAUCUAAACGUUUAUGAAAUGAAAUCAUAACUUAAUAGCUCCUAUUGUUUCUAAUGCAAUUUGCGAGUAAAUACAUGGUAUCUUUACGAUGUUCAAACAUGGUAAAAUUGCUUUAUCUUGUAUGAGCCACAGCAGAACUUGUCUAUAAAGCUCUCAGCGGCAUAGGUUAAUAGGGUUUCUCUGUAAGCGCUGUGAUUGGCCAAUAGAUAGAAUUCUCUACGCGCGCUGUGAUACGCUUUUCUAAGAAUUUGUACAAAUAUGGACAUAAAAUGUUUAAAGAUAACACUUCAGAAACAGCUAUAAUAAAUGGUACAACAUUUUGUACUGUCAGAUCUGAAAGCGAUACGCGGGAAAUUGAUCUUUUUGGCGGAGAAAGUAGACACAUUAUCUUAAGUACCGCCUAUAUGUGGAUUCUUAAAAUGCAGAAAUGUGCGUUUUGAAUAGGAUUUCUCGUUUUUGUAAUAGUGAAAUCCCUAAAUGAAAAAUAUAUUAUGACAAUCGACUGCAUGUAUGUGAUAUAAGUUACAUAUUUUCUAAGAAAAAACAUAUCCUAUGUCCAUGUUUAUGUAUACCAUAUUCCUGUAUAAUAUCUACAUUCUGAAAUCUUUUAAAAAAUCACGUGUCCAAAGAUAUAGAAUGAAACUGGUAUUUAUAUGUACAACACUAAACAAAGAAUAUUUGUGUAGUUCCGAACAUUUCUAAAUUUCUUAAAAUGUCUAAGUCUGAUAUUGCAGACUCUUUAAUAUCAUUAAAGAUACUCAUAAAAACCAAGCUUGUGUUUCUACCUUUUUGCAGCUAUAUACAAUGUACAUUUUUCUAAAUGAUUUCAAUAUAUCAGUAAUAUCACAUGAUUGCUAAUGUUGCUGCUACUUAAAAACUUCACCAUAUUUAGUCUAAUGUAACUGUGCCAUUGUUGAAUGCUAAAAGCUAUGUAUACUUUUGGAUAUCGUGGGCAUCCAUUUCAGCUUAAGGUAUUUCAUACACCGAUAUGCCACUAAAUCUGAAACUACUAAUGAAUUAAUAGACUUGCAAUGUCAAGCUGGUUUGUACAGUACCCGACUGAGGUUUAUUUUCUACUUUCAUAUUCAACAGAGUUAGUAAGGAGCUCUAAACACUAUAGUACAACCUGAAGUAAUGUUCCAUAUAUUACAGUAAGCAAACAAGAUUUAAAGAAACAGACUAAAACGACAUACAUGAGAAAAAGCGGUGCAUUGUUAUUCUGAAGGCGCAUGUGCACGAAGACUAUCUAAAAUUUAGUGGCCAUAAAGAAAUGAUGCUAUUAGUAAAAUUAUAACAACUCGAAGGAAUGUCAUAUCCGCCCCUUCAAAGACGGCAAGAAAUAUUUCCGCCAUGUUUCAUUUAUUCUAAACUUGUAACAUGUUCAUCCAACUGUAUGUUAAUGUAAUAUUCACGAAUUAAAUAUUACGCUCUACCUUGUUCAUUUGAUAUGUUGAUGUUGCAUUAAGUCAUUAUUAAUUACCGUCUUUGACCGGCAAUUUAUUGCCGACUGAUAUAGUGGUAUAUUUUUCAAAUGCGUGAGCGUUUAUUUAAAUGCCCUUUGUUUAGAUGCAUCUGAAAAAAAUGCAUGAACCAUAAAUUGUGCCUAAUGCGUUUAUGCAACGGGAAUAUUAAUGACACUUUUAAGAUUUUUUUCAUAUCCAAAAAGGAUCAAGCAAAAAUUUUGUCGAAAGGUUGCGCAAAAAUGUAGAGGAGUAUGUGUAUCUAUAUCGCUUGUCAGAUUACAUUGUACCUGUGCAAGCUACAUGGCUGUGUUUUGCAUGUCCCCAAAUAAUGAAGUGAAAAGCUUUACAACUUGAAAUAUAUAUUUCAUCUAUGAUCGUUAUGAUAUUCAGUUACAUUUGGAACAUAUUUUUCUAUCUUUGUUUUGCAUGGUCGUAACAUACAACUGGAAAUCGAACUGUCAAUGUAUGAUUAAAUUCAAAACCUUCCAAGUAGCCAAAAUCUUCAAAGCAGUCCGACAUUUCCGUCAGAACCUCUUGCAUUUUUCUCCGAAGAUAUACAAUUUAAACUUCAGGCAUUAUAUAUAUUAUAUAUUUCAUUUUAUAUGAAUAUAUGCUAAAUAUAUGUGUAAACGGUUGACGUUUUUCAGUAUUGAUUUCUUUUAAUUAAUAUUAUACACGUAUUGAAUAGCUUGUCGGUUUGCUAUUUUAAUAAUGCCCCGAAAAAGCAAAAGAACAAAUUGUAGAUGUCAUGAUAUAUAUUUAUAUACCAAUGAUAAUUUUGAACGUUUCAUUUCUACAAGUUUAUAUUAAUUUACUUGCCAGCUACGAUAUUGUGACAGGGUAAAAAGAGUCCGUCAUAAAUAGGGUGAAAAUGUAGUUUAUGUAGAAUUUCACCGAUAAUCACUGAAAGAUUCAACUGAGAUAAAUACUGGGUGAUAUAUUUGAAACUAUUCAGUAUAAUUUAAACAUUAAAUGGUUAAUGUAUACAAUCAAUAACGGAAAGUGUAAAAGACCAUGUUACGAAAUGUUUGAACGAACGUUAGUAUAUAAUAUAUUGUAUUUAAAGAGAAUUAGUAUCAACUUGACCAGUCCCACUAACAGUAUUACUAGAAUUUAGUAAUACCAAAAGUUCAAAUUACGAUGUAAGUCUAACAUUAUUUGUUUUUGUUCUGUCAAAAUGCAUCAUUUGUUUUUGUUCUGUCAAAAAUGCAUAAAAUCUAAUAUCGUUGACAAAGUAUUAGUAACGUUGACUUGUGUUACGUAAGUAACCUAAUUUUAAUCAUUUUAAUCUUACUAAUUUAUUGAUGAACGUGUAAAGGAUUUUCAGAACUAUUGCGUUAUACUUAGACACUGUUAUAAAACAGAUUUAAAUAAAAACUUACUGAUCUUCCCCAAGCAAAUGAAAUGCAAAAUUGGUAUCAUUCCUAUUAAAUACAUGACGUAUCUCUUUUAAUCGCAGUAUAUCACUUCAAAUUUGCACAUUCACUUAUAAAUUUGCUUGCACAAUGAAUGUGUAGUAAUUGAUGCAGGCAGGUGAGAAUUACCAGCAGCAGGUAGUUACGAAUGGUGAACAAAAUUGCGUUUUGCAGGUUUUGACAACGUUUGUCAACACUACGUUACCGUUCUAUUUCACAAAAGAAAAUGAGCGCGAGGCCAUUUGUCCAUUCGUCCAUUUUUGUUUUGCCAUUUAGAUGCGCAGAACAUGUUAGGACUGGUGUGGAAUAAACGAUUUCAGUGGUCAAUUUAGUCAUAACGUGUUUUGCGCAAGAAAGUCACGAAAAAGGUGGUUAUUGAAUGGCUUUGCGCGUAUUUAUGCUGCUAAUUAGCCACGUGCAAUCUCCAGCUCUGGAUUUGCACUCGUGUGGCCUUUUUCUGAGAUAAACCAAAGGUGAUAAACGUAAAUAAUCAGAGCAUUUGGCAACACAAUUUUAAUCUGCGAGACAGCCAAUUAAGAAGGUCAUGUGAUGGUUCAAAUAUAUGAAAUCGUUCUUUUGUUCACUUCUGUCGAGCAUCUGAAACAUAAAAUAAUAUUUUCAAUCAAAUUGCCAAAUUAGUUUUACACGAACCUACCUUAAGGCGAGCACAUACAUCAACAUAUUAGAUAUUAAUUGCAGACUACAAAAAAACAGACAUUUAUGAAAUGUUACAGUAUUUUAUAAACUUAACAAAUUACCGGUGUCAUAAAAUAACAACGUUUUAUGGCAUGCAAUUAGUUAUUUGACCCCUUACACACCUGCACUGCAUUUAAUUAAGUCAUUAUAUGUCUUUCUUCAACAUUUUCAGAUAUUUCACAGUUUUCAUGAAAAAGACACCUUUAAGUGCUUGCCUAUCACCAAGAUUAAACUAACUUGCCUGUACCUGACUAGUUUCUUUUUGUAAUUAAAUUAACGUUUAGAUCUUUUGAUAGUUAUCAUAUUAUGUAUAUACUUUUGGUGGUUGACAAAUAUUACCACACUGUUUAUGAGAUGCUUGUGAGUUUUGUUUUAGCAAUCAGUCUGUACAAAUUUGUUGUGACGCACCAGUUGGUUGGAUUAGUAAAAACUACCCAUAGAAUUCCUGUCUUCAGCUUAUACAUAAAUCAUUUAUUAAGACCGAAGCCAGUAUUAGAGCCCAUUUUCUCGCAUCAGUAUCCCUCACAUCAAGCUUGGAGCGAUCAGUACAACAACAGGUGUAAAAUCUAUUUACUAAUUGUUAGCUGAAAUAGAAAAAGAACAUAAGUGCAAAAUACAAAUAGUUAUUUAUCAAAUAUAAUAGGUGCUGAAAAUUCCUACGUAUGUCAAGAGUGAGUGCUAUGCUGUGACAUAUUUCUCAUAGGUAUAACGUUCUUCAAACAGUCCAAAGGUUUUUUCGACCGAUAUAAGACUUAUUAUAAAAUGCCCUUGCAGUCAUUAAAUUCUUUUUCUCGUCAUCGCGAAAUUUUGAGGCCGUUUAAAUUUUACAACCUACCUUUGCAAAAUAAAUUAUUUUGCAAGGCCUAUACAGAUCGGAAGUAAGUGACAUUCAGGCUAGACAUCAGUUAUGUUUAUAAAAAAAAUCGUGUUAAAAGGGCAGACAGAAAGAGCCUUUUUUCAAUGAAUAGGUUACUUGAGGUGACAACCUUUUCUUUCAAUCCAGGUUUCAUCCGUUUAGCGCCAAGUGGCAAUUUUUGUGUACACUAACCUCACAUUUAAUCACUAAUGAUACAUCGAGUGUUUUACCAUAUUUGUUUUGAAAAUACUUAGUCCAAGCAACCAGCUCAAAUUGCAUACGUCACACUGUGUAUACAAAUCGUUUGACCUUAGGCCGUUUCAAACAAGUAUUUAACAAAAAGGUGUUAAGCCAAGACGUUCACACGAUUAGCUUUGGUUUCAAGUAUCACACAUUAUCUCCCUUUUGAAUACGAAAUAAGAUGUACAAGAACACGAGGAUAUUGUAUUUGAUUUUACAGAGCUGUAGUAGAAAAUAAUGAACAGCUAUAGCAGAGAUGAAAAUAAGCUGACACGAGCCAUAUCGCAAAUACAUAACUAAAAAUCUGUUGUUUUUUUUUUCCAAAAUAAGAGUUUAGUAUUUUACUUCUAGCUAUUGUCAUCUGGGUCAUCUCCCCAGGCAUUUUUUCUACAUGUAGUAAAAUGUACGCUUUCCCUGUAAUGACUUUUAUAAUAUAAGUCCAAAUUACCAUGCAAAACCAGAGUCGUAUGGAGUUACUGCAAUUGUCUGUUGUGGUGAGGACUUUAAAUAAAGAUAUAUAUGUAUUUUCAUAACUUGUUAUCAAAGAGGAAUC
rnacentral:lncRNA from 1 species